rnacentral:misc_RNA from 1 species
CCAUUUUAAGCAUCCUUCUGAUUAUAGAGACACAGGAGAAUAGGUCGCCUAUUGUAAAUCAUUAGCACAUUGUGCCAUCUACAUUGUAUUUUGAAAAUGAAAUAGAAAGAGAUCUUUAACACAGGAGACUUCAUUUGCAUGGAUUUAUACAAAUUUAUGCUAUUAGAAUGCCGCUGUACACGUGCCCUGGACUCAAUAAGGAAGAGCCGAGCAGAAGGCAAAAAUGAAGAAAUAACACUUCAGAGGCUUACAUCAGCUUUAUCUUAACUUCAUGUGAUUGAGGUAACUGUGUUUCGAGAGCUCUUUCACAUUGUAGUGUCCUUUAAUUUACACCUCACAAAAUCAUGCCGUAAUAGGAGCUGUUUCAGGAACACCGACUAGCCGUUCCAUUGCUUGCAGUUGAUCAUACGGAGCAAUCUGCACCACAAUAAAGAGAUUAGAUAGUGGCUAGUAGGGUACAUGAACAGGAAGAAAGAAGGGCCAGAUGUUUUAUGUCGUAAUUAAGCUGCAUUCUGUUGAGUUUUUCAUUUUUAACUACUACUCCAAGGCUAUGACUAUUUGCACAUUUUCCCCAUUUAUGAUGCCACAGAGUCUGGUAUUUUCCUAUAAAGAUGGGAUUGCUGUUACAGCCAUUCACCUUGUUCCAUCUCAAUAUUAAAAGGCAUUGAUCUAUAUUCAUAUACGUGUAUGUGCUGACACACACACAUGCAUGCAGACUAAUCAAAUUUUAAAUUUCAACAAACAUUUAAUUGCAAGAAGCAAAUUUGAGAUAAACUAGUCACUAAUGGUUUAUUUAAAUGCUAAUAUGCACAAUUGAACAGUUGAACUGCCUAUUCAUCACCAGUUAAUCCCAAAUCCCUAACAGCGCAGAUUGUAAGGUGUGGAUAUGAAUACACUGAUCUUUGUCACAGAGUAAUCGUCAGUUUGUACGCUACCUAAAACAUAUGUCAUCAGUUCUCCGGUGUUUUCCCUAAAAGAUACAUUCGCAUAAAUUAAAGAAGACUACAUAUGGUGCAUUCCAUGUGUCAAUUAACUUUUAAGAAUCAACUGAUACUUCCGGAGUUCACUUAAAAUAAUUUUAGAAUUUUCAAUGUUUUAAAUAAUUUUGAGAAUUUUCAAUGUUUUAAAGCAGCGGAUUCGCAUCAAGAAACAUCCAAUGAGAAAUGGAUUUGGUUCCCAGCAGAAGUAUAUUCUAAUGUGCAGAUCCAGUAUAGCUCAGGAACCAAGGCAAUGAGGUUGAACUCCAAAAUUAAUCACUUCAACCAUAAAGGUCAGCCUACAACAGUAUUCAUGCGCAUAGUAGCAAGUUUGCCAGCAUUUCUCAGAGUCAACAAAAUAUCACUGUAAACAUGUUUUGCAUUUUGGUCAAAUGGAGAUGUUAGGCCAGUCAUGACAUUGACAACUCUCAUAGUAGUAGUAGAGUAUUAGUAGUACUAACAGUUACCAUGGAAUUGUUAUUUUACAAAUAAUGUAACAAAGUAUGCUAAGUCACCUGGUUAAAUCCGUCUGGCCAUGUUAUUUGCACGGCGUAGUUUCCCACAGGCCGAAUUUCUUCAGGUUCAAUAUCUUCAGGAACAUCAGUGUACUGCAGUUUUUGUUCCCCAGUCCAUUCAUCCUAUUUUGAACAAAGAAAAGAAAAGGAUUUAAGGGAAGCCAUUAUGGACUUCAACCACAAAAGAGGAUUUGUCAAGGAAAAUUUUCUUACAAAAAAGUAACAUUUUGUUUGAUUUGCAAAAGGGACUGUCUAUUCCCUCAACCACUUUGUAUUAAAAGUUUCCAUUGACUUUAUUUUUUCUUGACUGCCACAUCUAGAUUGAUGCAUAUUAACUACACCUAUUCAAAAUCAAACUGGGAUAGGAUUUUUAAAUCCUGGUCCAGGUUCUGCCCAAAUUUCUGGGCCUAUAUAUAUAUAUUACCAAGCCUGGCUUAUAUAUGUAACCGUUAGAGCAAUCUAGCCCUCAAUUGUGCAGAGCUGAGCAAAGCCCCCUUACAAAACUGACUUCCAAUUGGAUUGAACCUGGCUUGUGAACAGGUCCAACUGUAAUAAGAAAAAAUGGUACAAGGCUUUGGCCUGAGAUUUUCAUUCCAUAAAAUUCUUCUGGCAAAGUAAAUAAGGACCCAAACAACUCUUAUUUAUACUAGAAAGAAGUAUUAGUUGUCCAGAAGAAAUCCUUACGCACCACACUUUGGGCAGAGCGGUCAUUCCGUCUGACAGUUGCAGGAUGCAAAAGGAACUCUUCAUCUGAAUCUGGCACCUUCACCUUGAUUACCUUUAUUGAUUUAUCAUAUGUGACAGCUGUUGACACUAGAAUGGAAGAACAUAACAAAACAACCAUUUAUUCCCGGCAAGAGUGAGUUGAAAGAUUUUAGGAUAAAAUUUCAGAACUUCUAAAUUUAUAAUUUUAAACACAAGUACAAGCUCUUCAAAGGCAUUGGCCUAGCCUUCCAUUUUGACCGGUUAACAGAUCCAAAGCCAAUGACAAAACUAAUAUCAUACAAUGGACACAUAAUCACAAAUAACUUUUCAUAAUUAUCCCACCACCUAAUACAUUACAUUUUUGCCAGGAAAUGAUGCAGAGAUAAGUAGCAAGUACCUUGCUGACGAAUCUUGGCACAUUGUUGCACAACACAAAUUCCAAGGUUCUGAAAUGUCUUGGCAACUUCACCUUGAGGAUCAGCCACAGCUUCCGGGAUUCCACUAUCUCCAGAAGCAGAUAGCUAUACAAGUAAUGAAAUCAUAACUUCAAUUUGAUCAUGCAUUUCAGCAUAUAAAUGACAAAAUUUCACAUGUUUUAUGGUAAGGGUUUAGCAUUAACAAUGAAUUCAGAUAAGCCAAAGUGCCAAAUUGUAGGAUUCAGUGACCUGAUACAACCACCUAAUUAAAAAGAAGUUAAACAUGUAUCUGGAGCAGAUUCAAGCAUAAGCAGUGAUGAGAACACUCAUUCUUGUACGUACAGUUGGCCUAAUUGGAAGAUCAAACAAAUGAGGGAUUCCGAACUGCUGGACAACCUUCAAAGUUCAAAUACGUGAUCAAAGUGCAUUAAUAUUUUUUCAAUAAAGAUAGUGUUGAUAAAUGAUAAUGCUUGAAUUGAAAUCUCAAAUCUUCCAUGAAUUAAGAAAAUUAAAUCAUCAGAGUAAUAUGCAUGCCUGAGAACCUGAACCUCUACCAAAUGGGUAAUAGCGUUUCCCAUCAGCAUCAAAGUGGCACAUAUUCUCAACUACAGCAAUGCAAGGCACCUUAAGCUUGGAAAACAUGCGAACUCCUUUGGCAACAUCGAUAAAUGCUAGCUUUUGGGGGGUGGUCACAAUAACAGCAGCAGUUAACGGGACAACCUGGCAUAAAGUAAGCUGUAUGUCACCAGUUCCAGGUGGCAUGUCAAUUACAAGGUAAUCAAGCUCCCCCCACUCAGUAGUAGUCAGAAGUUGGUUUAUGACCCCAGAAACCAUUGGACCUCGCAUUAUCGCACGACCUUGUCCAGCAAAUCCGAAAGAUACCAACUUGACUCCCAAGUAUUCAGUUGGAAUAAUGGUUCUCUUCUCUGAAUUCAUCUCUAGCAGUCGGUUUUCAGGGGAGACCAUUGUUGGCAAGCUUGGACCAUAGACAUCAGCAUCAAAAAUGCCUACUCUAGCACCCAUACCAGCCAAAGUAUAUGCAAGAUUUACAGCUACAGUUGAUUUCCCCACACCUCCCUGCACAACUUUUCACAAAUAACAAUGCUGAGAAAAAUUAGACACAAUAAAUUGUGCUUUAAUUACUUGACACUUCCAGCAACCAGGACAACAUGGAAAUAGCAUGGGAAAAAAGUAUGACGAGUUCUCCCACCAAAAGCCAAAAGAGGGGGAUGACUUUUAAUGGAACCUUCCCUGCAAUUGUUGCCUUACAUUUGGGAUUAUGAGAUCAAAACCCAAGUAUUCAAAAUGGAUGACCUUAUGAAAUAACAUAAACAAGUUGUGGUCAACAAGUUACUGUGAAGUGCCUAGGGCACAUAUAUUGAUCCUGGGACAUUUAUGUGUUGGGCAGUCCAGGAAUUGCUAGAAAGUUAAUAACAAUAAAUUAUAAAACUGUGCCACACAUGAAGUGAGAAAAGAACCAAAGUUCAUGGGAAGUCUACCUUGCAACUUGAAACUGCCACAAUAUUUGAAAUUGUCUGCAACCCAGCAGGAAGUUGCCCUGCAAAAACAGGUCUGGCUGGUUGUGCUGACAUUGUUACUUUCACAUUCUUGACCCAAGGAAUCAUAGCCACCACUUCAUUUGCCCUCUGUUCAAACAUGUCCUUGACUGGACAUGCUGGUGUUGUGAGCUCCAACCGAAAUGAAACCUGACAUACAAAUUUAUAAUCUCUUCAUUAAAAGCUUUAAUUCAAUCCUCUAAAUAUAAGUUCAAGAAAAGUAUCCCAAGUUGUUGUGCGCUAAAGGACCUCCUCCAGAGCUUCAUCAAUCUCCAGAUCCUUCACAAACCCACAUGAUACAAUGUCUGUUCCAAAGUCAGGGUCUAUAAUCUGAGACAAGGCUUUCAACACAUCACUCUCAGCUGUCUCAGUUGAUAUUGCAGAAGCG